rnacentral:rRNA from 1 species
GCGAUUAGGUCGGGAACUCAAAGGAGACUGCCAGUGAUAAACUGGAGGAAGGUGGGGAUGACGUCAAGUCAUCAUGGCCCUUACGACCAGGGCUACACACGUGCUACAAUGGCGCAUACAAAGAGAAGCGACCUCGCGAGAGCAAGCGGACCUCAUAAAGUGCGUCGUAGUCCGGAUUGGAGUCUGCAACUCGACUCCAUGAAGUCGGAAUCGCUAGUAAUCGUGGAUCAGAAUGCCACGGUGAAUACGUUCCCGGGCCUUGUACACACCGCCCGUCACACCAUGGGAGUGGGUUGCAAAAGAAGUAGGUAGCUUAACCUUCGGGAGGGCGCUUACCACUUUGUGAUUCAUGACUGGGGUGAAGUCGUAACAAGGUAACCGUAGGGGAACCUGCGGUUGGAUCACCUCCUUACCUUAAAGAAGC